rnacentral:rRNA from 1 species
AUGAACGCUAGCGGCAGGCUUAAUACAUGCAAGUCGAACGGGAUUCAGAGUAGCAAUACUUUGAUGAGAGUGGCGCACGGGUGCGUAACGCGUAUGCAACCUACCUUUAACAGGUGAAUAGCCCCGAGAAAUCGGGAUUAAUACACCGUAACAUUGCGAGAUGGCAUCAUUUUGCAAUUAGAGAUUUAUCGGUUAAAGAUGGGCAUGCGUGACAUUAGCUAGUUGGUGAGGUAACGGCUCACCAAGGCCACGAUGUCUAGGGGUCCUGAGAGGGUUAUCCCCCACACUGGUACUGAGACACGGACCAGACUCCUACGGGAGGCAGCAGUAAGGAAUAUUGGUCAAUGGGCGCAAGCCUGAACCAGCCAUGCCGCGUGCAGGAAGACGGCCCUAUGGGUUGUAAACUGCUUUUGUCAGGGAAUAAACCUAUCUACGUGUAGAUAGCUGAAGGUACCUGAAGAAUAAGCAUCGGCUAACUCCGUG